rnacentral:misc_RNA from 1 species
AGAUGCUCAUUCCACUCCUUAUGACAGCAUAUGACUUCAUAAACCUAGGAAUGAUGCAGAGCCGAUUAUUCGGUGCCUACGUCCACGUUAACGAUGAACAUCAUUCAUCAUCAACAGGACGAAACGUUGAGUGAGGCACCAUCCG